GACAGAGGGUGCAAACGUUGUUCGGAAUUACUGGGCGUAAAGCGUGUGUAGGCGGCCAUUCAAGUCGGAUGUGAAAGCCCCGGGCUCAACCCGGGAAGUGCACCCGAAACUGGAUGGCUUGAGUAUCGGAGAGGUUGGUGGAAUUCUCGGUGUAGAGGUGAAAUUCGUAGAUAUCGAGAGGAACACCGGUGGCGAAGGCGGCCAACUGGACGAAUACUGACGCUGAGACACGAAAAGCGUGGGGGAGAAACAGG
rnacentral:rRNA from 1 species